UGCAGUCGAGCGGACAGAUGGGAGCUUGCUCCCUGAUGUUAGCGGCGGACGGGUGAGUAACACGUGGGUAACCUGCCUGUAAGACUGGGAUAACUCCGGGAAACCGGGGCUAAUACCGGAUGGUUGUUUGAACCGCAUGGUUCAGACAUAAAAGGUGGCUUCGGCUACCACUUACAGAUGGACCCGCGGCGCAUUAGCUAGUUGGUGAGGUAACGGCUCACCAAGGCGACGAUGCGUAGCCGACCUGAGAGGGUGAUCGGCCACACUGGGACUGAGACACGGCCCAGACUCCUACGGGAGGCAGCAGUAGGGAAUCUUCCGCAAUGGACGAAAGUCUGACGGAGCAACGCCGCGUGAGUGAUGAAGGUUUUCGGAUCGUAAAGCUCUGUUGUUAGGGAAGAACAAGUGCCGUUCAAAUAGGGCGGCACCUUGACGGUACCUAACCAGAAAGCCACGGCUAACUACGUGCCAGCAGCCGCGGUAAUACGUAGGUGGCAAGCGUUGUCCGGAAUUAUUGGGCGUAAAGGGCUCGCAGGCGGUUUCUUAAGUCUGAUGUGAAAGCCCCCGGCUCAACCGGGGAGGGUCAUUGGAAACUGGGGAACUUGAGUGCAGAAGAGGAGAGUGGAAUUCCACGUGUAGCGGUGAAAUGCGUAGAGAUGUGGAGGAACACCAGUGGCGAAGGCGACUCUCUGGUCUGUAACUGACGCUGAGGAGCGAAAGCGUGGGGAGCGAACAGGAUUAGAUACCCUGGUAGUCCACGCCGUAAACGAUGAGUGCUAAGUGUUA
rnacentral:rRNA from 1 species